rnacentral:lncRNA from 1 species
GGAGCCAGCAGGUUAGUCAGGGACGGGGCUGUGUUUCUCCUGAUGCCAGAUGUCCCUUAAGGUUUCCGGUGUGUGUGUGUGUGUGUGUGUGUGUGUGUGUGUGUGUUAUGUUGAGUCAAAUUGAGGCAGUAUAGCAAGACAGAGAAAUGGACACUAGGGGAAAUAGGAGACCCUCACUCUAGAGUCUAGCUGAAACCUCUCUUGCCAGCUAACAAACAAGAAUUCGUGCAAACAAGAAAGCUGUCUGCUUUCUCUCUUCCGGGUUGCACCCCAACUUCCUGCCCCGCCUCCUCCUGUGCCCCGCCCCCAGACCCUCCCCUCCACAUCAUUCACUUAACCCUCAACGCUAAACCUGUGUUUAAAAGGUCUUUAAGGAACAAGGCUCUUCUGAGGAGCCUCCCUGUGCUCCCCGGUUGGUGUGCUUCCUGCUUUCUCUUAGAACACUUCUGUUUUUAACGAACCUGGACUCCACUUCUUACUGCCUCAUCUCGGAAUUCUUUUCCGCAUCAAAGUCAGGGAUCUGGUUUUUGCCGAGCUGAUGGGUCGCUGAACGGUUAACACAUCUCCUCAGACUGUUGUAUGUGUGCCUCUGUCCCGGCUACUGCUUCUGACUAACCCAGUCUUUGCUUUGUGGACCCGGAGCCUCACCGUGCAUGAACUACGUGGGACCUGAGCACAGGACGCUCAGCUCUGGUUGGCGAGUCACUUACACCAACUUGCCUGGUUGGGACUGUUGUUGAAUCAAUAGCUUUUAUAGUUAGAGAUCGCUGAGGGCAGCGUCUUUGACCUCAGACAGUUUUUAGGGGCUGCAGUGUAAGUUGCCCUAGAUGUCCACACACCUGAGGACUGUCCCCAGCCAGUGCUGGAAGAAGCAGAGGCUUUCACUGGGAGCUCACUGCGCGCUUCCUUCUGCCCACGCUGUGGGAAAGGUCUACUAGAGGCAGGGAGAGAAUAUUCUAGUAAGAGGUUCUCUUGGGGUAGGUAAGCUAGGGUUA